AUGCUCACUUCGGCAACACAGAUACUAAAAUUGGAACGAUACAGAGAAGAUUAGCAUGGCUCCUGUGCAAAACAUUGAGUACAUUAUAUAUGAAGUAUAUUU